AAUUAACUCAUUGAGGUAUAUUCUCAUUUGGCAAUAACUUGCUAGUUCCCUAACAGUAUAUUAUCCAAAAAUUAAUCAAACAAAAUUGGUCUAUCUACAAA